AGAGUUUGAUCCUGGCUCAGAUUGAACGCUGGCGGCAUGCUUUACACAUGCAAGUCGAACGGCAGCACGGGGGCGAACCCUCGUGGCGAGCGGCGGACGGGUGAGUAAGGCAUCGGAAUACUGCCCUCGAUGUGGGGGAGUAACGCGGCGAAAGUUAGUGCUAAUACCGCAUAAGCUCUGAGGAGGAAAGCGGGGGCCGGAAAGGACCUCGCGCUGAAGGAGCGGCCGAUGUCCGAUUAGCUAGUUGGUGAGGUAAAGGGACUUACCAAGGACGACGAUCGGUAGGCUGGUCUGAGAGGAUGAUCAGCCA
rnacentral:rRNA from 1 species